GGGGGAGGGGCUGGACAGACUCGGCUAUGACAUCUUAGUUACCUUUGUCGUGGAGCGUGGGGAGGGGGGCUGGACGGACUCGGCUGUGACUUCUGUCUAAGUUACCUUUGUCACCGCUGUGACUAAGCACCUGACCGAAGAACUUAAGGAAGGAAGGAAGGAAGGAAGGAAGGAAGGAAGGAAGGAAGGAAGGAAGGAAGGAAGGGUGGGUUUAUUUUGGCUCGGGGCUCUGGCAGGGAAGGCGUGGCUACAGGCGCGAGUGCAUGUGUGUGUGUAUGUGUGUGUGUCUGUGUGUGUGUCUGUGUGUGUGUGUGUGCGUGUGGCAGUUGGUGAAGCUGCACCUACAGUCAGGAAACCGAGAGGAGAAACAAGGGCUCGCUCAGUUGCUGCUCACCUUCUGAGUCACUCCAGAGCCCCAGUCAUGGAACGAUGCCAGCCACAUCCCAGGUGGGUCUUCCCCAGCCGCGCGUUAGCUGAAUCUGAAAAACCCGUCACAUGUGCCUGGAAGUCUGCUUCUAUGGUGAAUCUAAGAGCCACCGACGACGGAGCAAGAUGCUACAGCACAGCUCCCCUUUCUUGCCAAGGAGGACAACAAAAAGCCACCGUGAGCUCAGCUCUAUGACAGAUGGGAGAAGAGGGACAGUGGUACGUGUAGCAGGAGGGGUAAUCCCGGACUUUUCCCCCUGCAGGAAGGAGACGGUAGCACCAAGGCAGGCACAAUCUUCAGAAGAUAGGUUUGAUGGACACCUGCUAACAGUUUCUUAUCAUCUUUGCACAACUAUCCAUCCCAACUGCCAGAGGACAAAACAGGGCCUGGACUGGAAUUCUUGAAUAAGGGGGGAUGGGGAAAGAAAUAAAAAGCAAAAGAAAGGACAUGACUGUGCCUAGGUAUGGAGAAAGAGAAAGUUUAUUGUAGAUAUGAGAAAGAACAUAGCCAGAGACAGAAACAUCUGGGAGAAUCCAGAGUGCUCAUGAUCCUGAGCCCUGUAGAGAAAUGGGGAGGGAAGGGAGAGAGGGGAGCAGCUGGAGGUCAGAGGUAACAAGGGGCAGGGAACUAAAAUGUCUAGAUUAUAUAGCCAAGAGCCUGGGGGUGGGGGAGCCCAGCCCCUGGGCUGGAGAGUUGAGGGUGGGGUAUGCCAGCCAUACCCUGUACAGGGUAAGGACUGAGGGAUGCUGGGAGAACUUGGAGGCUAGGCACUCUUCGAUAUGUUAAAUAAGCACUUCUGCCACUUGUCCCAGGUUGAAACUUAACAGUUCUGGAGUAGCAUCUCCCAGCAUUGUAUGACCAGCCAUAGGGUAGGAGUGAGUCUCUCCUUGUGAACUAAAAGUGGAAGGGUCUUUCGAAUGCCUUGGGGUAGCCAUGGAGUCAGACGGUACAAGGCCAUGUACCAGCCUCUGUCUAGUGUGCUCUUAUAGAGCAAAAUAAGAACUUAAAACAAGGGAGUGGGCUCCCGGGGAGAAAGUACAUGUUCUCUGCCAGGCCCCAUUAGCAGCCCCUUAUCCCGAGACUCAGUGUUCAGUGGGAUCAGGCGGGGCUAGCCUUGGAACCACCCACACAGGCCAGGGAAAGUGUCCCUCCUGGCCCCAGUUUCCAAGAUGAUGAUGAGGACGAAGACGACAACGACAGAACAGGUGACCAACCACACUUGUGAGCAGAAGCUUCCAGUGAACGUGUCAGCACUGCCGCUUUGGCAGCUUUGGCCUCUCAACUUGAAUGCGUAGGGAUUUGAAUCCACUCUUGAAGCAGAGACUUUCCCCUCAGACUGAGAUAAAUACAGACAAACCACACAGGAGGCCCUGACUUGGGGAGAGAGUUGGAAGAUUCAGCAAGCUGCUUCUUGAGGGGGCGGGGAGGUGGGAGGGGUCACCCAACCUGAGAACACACAACUUCCUCUUCAGAGUCAAAACACUAAGAAAGAGCUGAGAAGCGGGCCAAUAAAGAGCCAAGAGAAAAAAAAUGGAGGAAGAGAGAAUUUCCACGGAAAUUACUGAGUGGAAAACCCUUUCCUUGAUCUCAUGGGCCCAUGCCAGCCUCGGGCCAACUUCGAAGUUAAAAGAAGGAAGCCAGUAAGGAACCUGUCCAGGAGCUAAUUCUGCCUUUCCUAAGGAACCAUCACUGGCUGGAGCCCAAGAGCAGAGUACAGGCUAUGCUGUGCCCUGAGAAGAGAUGAGUACAUGCGCCCAGCCCAUGGAACACUGGGAGCAGCUCACACCAUCCGGAAACUCUUCCCUAUUUCAAAGCUGGAAUUCCUCCUUCCUUAAUGCGUCCCCCACUUCCUUUCCCCUUUUCCUCAUGUGGCUGUGUUCUUGCCAGCAAAGAAAGUUGAAAAGGAACAAAGGCAUAUGGUUUUCCUAUUAAGACUGACGCCCACGUGUGAGGGGAGCCAGAGGGAAGUGUUCAAAUAAGGGCAACGGAAAUACAUUUAUGUGACACUCAUUUUAUAGGCUGUUUUUUUUUUUUUUAAAAAGCUUGUCCAAAACAAUGAGAUUCUCCUUUGUCCCACUUAUUACAUGUUUGGGAUAUUUAGGAUGUCCUGGAGACCCCUCUACAGAGAGGUAGGAGAAUACAGAAGACCCCGGGUCUAGCUUAUAACAAGUGGUACAGACUUAUUUCUGAGCUGCAUAUGGUGGUACAUGCCUAGAGCCUCGGCUACUCGGCAGGGGUGAGGGAGUGGCGGUCACUUGAGCCUGGCCAGAGCCACAUUGGGAGAAACCGUCCCUUCCUCCCUCCUCCCUCCAAAGUCUUAUUUCUGCCAGACAUUAGCUGUGGACCUACCAUGGUAUACACUCAAAAGUUCCAACACUCAAGAGGCUGAGACAGAGGGAUUGUGAGUUUGAGACCAGCCUGGGCUACAUAGAGAGAGAAACCCUGCCUCAAAAAAGGGUCUGAGAGAAAGCCAAGGGCUGAGAGAAGGCCAUCUCAGCCUCACUGGUUAAAGAGCUUACUACACAAACCCAAAGAUAAGAACUGGAGUUCAGAUUCUCAGAACUCACAUAAAUGCUGGGUGACAACGGUGGUGGCUCGUCACAGCCUUUAUAAUCCUCAGCUUCUCCUAUUGGACAAUCGGGUUGCGAUAGCCUUGCCACGUUCUACACAGGGGCCUUGCCUGGUGCAAAGGAGGUCCUGACAAUGGAAGAGAAAGGGAAGGGAGAAAGAGAGGUAAGAGAAGAGGAGGGAGGUGGGUGAUUACUCACACCAGAGCUAGACCUCGGUUGGCACAGUGCUCACCUAGCAGGGGCUUCCUUGUUCCCACCAUACUUCGUGCCCUGACCUAGCUGGCAUGCCCCACCUUCCGUCUCAGCAGGGGACAGCUGGCCUUGCUGUUGUCACCAGUACAUAUAACUUUUUUUUUUCUGUGAGUUCCGUAAGUUCCGAGGACAGUUUGGCAGGCUUUGGGGACAAGCACCUUUGCCUCCUGAGCCAUCUCCACAGCUCCUGCUUAUGCCUGAAAACGUCUACUGUGCACAUAAACCUCAUUUUCCUUACCCAUCCCGCUGUUCAUACAGUACUGCAAUAAACAUUGAUUUGCAAGUGUC